rnacentral:tRNA from 1 species
GAGGGUGUAGUUUAGGGGUAGAGUGCGUGCCUAGCAUGCAUGAGGUCUUGGGGUCAAUCCCCAGUACCUCCA